UAAGCCCGGAUGAACCUGAAUAUCCCAAUAUGAGAAAUUCAUCAUUAAUAAUAUAUUAUUUAAUAACAAAUAUAAUAUAUGAAUAAUGUGCAAUUUUCUCAUAUAAGGACAUUGUAAUCUGUUAAUAUAUAUUAAUAAAUUUAUCAUAAGUACCGUUUGGAUAAGUUUAUGUGUUAUUAUAUAAAAUUUUUAUAUAAUUCAUAUAAAAUCCAAUUUAAAUACGGUUACAGAUAAAUUAUUGACAGAUUUUACAUAUAACGCCAAUAUAUAUUUUUAUAUAUUAUAAUAAGAUAUUAAUUAUAUAUUAAUAUCUUUUAUUAUAUGCGUUUUAUAUGAUUAACAAUGCUAAAGAUUUAGGAUACCUUCGGGACCCGUCUUGAAACACGGACCAAGGAGUCUAACAUGUGUGCAAGUCAUUGGGUUUAUAUUAAAAACCUAAAGGCGAAAUUAACUUGACUUUUUAUAUUUUAUAUAAAGUAAAAAUAAUGGGAUCAAAUAUAUAUUUAUAUUAUAUAUAUUCCAUCCUGGGGCGUUCUAUAUAGUUAUGCAUUUUAAUAUAUUAAUUUAUAUUUUUAUAUUAUUUAUGCCUCUAACUGGAGCGUACCUUAAGCAUACACGUUGUGACCCGAAAGAUGGUGAACUAUACCUGAUCAGGUUGAAGUCAGGGGAAACCCUGAUGGAUGACCGAAACAGUUCUGACGUGCAAAUCGAUUGUCAGAAUUGGGUAUAGGGGCGAAAGACCAAUCGAACCAUCUAGUAGCUGGUUCCCUCCGAAGUUUCCCUCAGGAUAGCUGGUGCAAUGAGGAAUUAUUAUAAAUAAUCUUAUCUGGUAAAGCGAAUGAUUAGAGGCCUUAGGGCCGAAACGACCUUAACCUAUUCUCAAACUUUAAAUGGGUAAGAACCUCAUCUUUCUUGAUAUGAAGAUGUAGGUUAUGAUAUAUUGUGCCCAGUGGGCCAUUUUUGGUAAGCAGAACUGGCGCUGUGGGAUGAACCAAACGUGAUGUUACGGCGCCAAAAUUAACAACUCAUACUGAUACCAUGAAAGGCGUUGCUUGCUUAAAACAGCAGGACGGUGGACAUGGAAGUCGUAAUCCGCUAAGGAGUGUGUAACAACUCACCUGCCGAAGCAACUAGCCCUUAAAAUGGAUGGCGCUCAAGUUGUAUGCCUAUACAUCACCAUUAAAAUAAAUGAUAUAUAAAAUAUGUAAAUAUUUUAUAAAUUUUGAAAUUUUAAUGAGUAGGAGGGUACAAUGGUGUGCGUGGAAGUGUUUGGCGUAAGCCUGCAUGGAGCCGCUAUUGGUACAGAUCUUGGUGGUAGUAGCAAAUAAUCGAAUGAGACCUUGGAGGACUGAAGUGGAGAAGGGUUUCGUGUGAACAGUGGUUGAUCACGAGUUAGUCGGUCCUAAGUUCAAGGCGAAAGCCGUAAAAUUGUUAAAGUUAUUAUUUACAUUUAAAACUCAAUACACUUUAUAUAUUUUUGAACGAAAGGGAAUACGGUUCCAAUUCCGUAACCUGUUGAGUAUACGUUUGUUAUUAAAAAUGGGCUCUUAUGCUCAUCCUGGUAACAGAAACAACCAUAAAGAAGCCGUCGAGAAAUAUCGAAAGAGUUUUCUUUUCUGUUUUAUAAUCGUACUACCAUGGAAGUCUUUCGAAGAGAGAUAUGGUAGAUGGAUUAGAAGAGCAUGGCAUUUACUGCUGUGUCGAUAUUUUCUCCUCGGACCUUGAAAAUUUAUGGUAGGGCUACGCAAACUUCUCAACAGGCCGUACCGAUAUCCGCAGCUGGUCUCC
rnacentral:rRNA from 1 species